rnacentral:rRNA from 1 species
CGUACACUCCUGCGGGAGGCAGCAGUGGGGAAUAUUGGACAAUGGGCGCAAGCCUGAUCCAGCCAUGCCGCGUGAGUGAUGAAGGCCCUAGGGUUGUAAAGCUCUUUCACCGGUGAAGAUAAUGACGGUAACCGGAGAAGAAGCCCCGGCUAACUUCGUGCCAGCAGCCGCGGUAAUACGAAGGGGGCUAGCGUUGUUCGGAUUUACUGGGCGUAAAGCGCACGUAGGCGGACUAUUAAGUCAGGGGUGAAAUCCCGGGGCUCAACCCCGGAACUGCCUUUGAUACUGGUAGUCUUGAGUUCGAGAGAGGUGAGUGGAAUUCCGAGUGUAGAGGUGAAAUUCGUAGAUAUUCGGAGGAACACCAGUGGCGAAGGCGGCUCACUGGCUCGAUACUGACGCUGAGGUGCGAAAGCGUGGGGAGCAAACAGGAUUAGAUACCCCGGUAGUCC